rnacentral:rRNA from 1 species
GACGAACGCUGGCGGCGUGCUUAACGCAUGCAAGUCGAACGGAAAGGCCCCUUUGGGGGUCCUCGAGUGGCGAACGGGUGAGUAACACGUGAGUAACCUGCCCUUGACUUCGGGAUAACUUCAGGAAACUGGGGCUAAUACCGGAUAGGAAUCCUUGCUGCAUGGUGGGGGUUGGAAAGCUUCGGCGGGUUUGGAUGGACUCGCGGCUUAUCAGCUUGUUGGUGGGGUAGUGGCUUACCAAGGCUUUGACGGGUAGCCGGCCUGAGAGGGCGACCGGCCACAUUGGGACUGAGAUACGGCCCAGACUCCUACGGGAGGCAGCAGUGGGGAAUAUUGCACAAGGGGCGGGAGCCUGAUGCAGCAACGCCGCGUGCGGGAUGACGGCCUUCGGGUUGUAAACCGCUUUCAGCAGGGGCGAAGCUUGUGGUGACGGUACCUGCAGAAGAAGCACCGGCUAACUACGUG